CUCACCAUGCAAAGUGCCUUUUCACAUAUAUGUAAUAGCCUAGAAGAGAAACAUUGAAAAGUGAAACAGGCUAUCUUCUUAGGCAAUCUGCAGUUUUCCUUAAGAAUUAAAAAAUUUCUUCAGUUAAUGAUGAACUUGGAAAAAUGAGUGUAUUUCCUAAAUGAAAUAUACCUCAUUGUGACCAAAGUCUCAACUAAAGAAGCUUAACUGUUGAUGUCGUGAUGAGCCAGGAGGGGAAAAAAAAAAACAACAAAUAAACAAAACCUCAUAUAAUAUCCAAAGCUAAGUAUUUAACUUGAUUUUUUCAAAUUUAAUGGAGAACAUUCUGAGCCUUGUUCAAAUUUUGGUGACUGAAGGAAUCUACAAAUGUGCCAAUCAGCAGAAACCUGAACUCCCUAGUGCAUUUGAUUUAUCAGUAAUCGAAUGUUUACAAACCAACUGUUAAAACAGAGAAGGGGAGAGUGUACCUUGAAAAUGUUGUUCCUAUCAACAUGAGUCUUUAUUGCCGAGAUGCCUUCACCUCACAGACUAAAUUUACUUCACCUUAAAACCCAGAGCCUCACAGUUUUGGCUAAGACAUUGUGAGGGCCUGGCAUAAGUGUCUGUCUGUCUUUUAUUUCAGGAAGUCACCUUGUUCUCUAUGACUAAAGUCAGAGAAUGAACUUUCUCAAGCCACAUGUUCUCUUCGGAUUGAGAUGGCUGCUGCUGUUCUAGAACUGUCCAUGCCUCAGAGUUUUCAGCCACUGCAGCAGUCAUAAGAAGAUCACUGGUGAUGGGAGGAAGAUUCCAUGAAGAGUAAUGUGGUGUAGCAAACUGAGCUGACAGCCAGUGACCUGCAGCCACAGAGCAGGUGGAAGAGGAGUCAGUCUUCCUCCCUGUAUCCUCCUGUUGAUCCCUUCCUGAAGGUUCCUUAUUGAAAGUACUCUGCAGAACAGUGUUGUAAAGGGUUUCCAAGAUAAGUUCCUGGUACCCCCGAGUCAUUCCAACUAUAUACCCUUCACUUGAAGAAUCAGAGAAUCACCACACAUAUUGAUUAUAGAUGCAGCUUCAGAACUACUCCCAUGAGAUAUCAUCCAUGAAAUAAUAACAGAAUAUAAAACUCUAGAAAAGUGAUUCUCACAUCUCUUCCUAAUACUGGGGCCCUUUAAUACAGUUCCUCAUGUUGUG